UCCGUAGGCGGCAUGACAAGUCUGGUGUGAAAUAUCUCGGCUCAACCGAGAAAACGCACUGGAAACUAUCAAGCUUGAGUAUCGGAGGGGAAGCUAGAAUUCCUGGUGUAGGGGUGAAAUCUGUAGAUAUCAGGAAGAAUACCGGUGGCGAAGGCGAGCUUCUGGCCAGAUACUGACGCUGAGAUGCGAAAGCGUGGGGAGCGAACAGGAUUAGAUACCCUGGUAGUCC
rnacentral:rRNA from 1 species